GAAAUCCUCCUGUUUCUAUCUCUGUCUCUCCUGUCUAACGUUCCCCACCCCCAAGACACACACAACAAUCUGGGAUUACAUGCAUAUGUGUAUACACAUGACUUUUCAUGUGGAUGCUAUAGAUCUGAACUUGGCUCAUCAUGUUUGCACAAGUCCUUUACACAGUGAUCCAUCUCUCUCCAGCCCCAAAUGUCCAAUUCUUGACCUGUACUUAGGCACAUGUUAAACAUUCUCAUUCUGUCUGUGUGUGUGUGUGUGUGUGUGUGUGUGUGUGUGUGUGUGUGUGUGUUGUUUUUGGGUUUUUUUUUUCUCUCGUUUCCUCAAACUUCUCAAAAUGAUCUGCCCUCUUCUUUUUACUCUGGUUAAUUUUGUGAUUAUAUAUUUUAUACCCUGAUUACCUGUUUAAUAUGCUAAUUUGUACCACUUAAUAUCAUUUGUGGUAUCAUUUUAAGUAUAAAUUUUUUGAGCACUUAAUUCAUUCAUAAAUACCACUUCACUGAGUCCAAAUCAUACUGCCUGUGUGUGUGUGUGUGUGUGUGUGUGUGUGUGUGUGUGUGUGUGUGAGCGCGCGCGCACGCGCGCGUGCACAGAUAAGUGUAUAUGAACAUUUCCCUAAAGGAAACUGACUCUUUUUCCUUUACAACUCUUCAAUUGUAAAUAGCUCUUCAGCUAAAGAUGAGGACCCCUUUGUUCCUUCCCUCUUCAUACCAGCAAACAUAGCAACUACGAGAUAAAAACUGAAAUUUUUGUCAUGUGCAUAUGAGAGUGUUUUACCUCUUGUCCUUACAACUUUUCUGCCUGUUCUCUCACCUUGAACAGUGUGAGAGCCUUUUCAAGAGGUGGACUUGUUGAUGGUGUCUCUUUAAAGACAGGGUUUUUUGAAGCUCAGCUAGCUUUGAGUUCAUUAUGUAGUCGAGGAUGACCUUACUGAUUCUUCUCCCUUUGCUUUCCAAGUGCUGGGAUUACAUGUGUUAGCUACGAUAGUAGUCCUAGUCCUUCUUUGUCUGUUCUUAAUCGUUGUUUACAUUUGCAGUUUCUUACCCAUUUUCCUCAUAGCAACUCUGUAUUCUGUUUCAUAGCUGUAGUCUCUUAAAUAUAAAUCUGUUACUUCGGGAUUUUAGUGACACUCAUAGGGGCAUGCUGUAUAUUUAUUAGAUACUUGUUGAGAUUCUGUUGUAUUUUAAUUUCUAAGAUUUCCAAGGGCCUGAUUUGAGGUAAUCCCUUUCCUGUAGCAUAGAAUGACUUUAAUUGUACUUCAGCCAGGAGCUGGUGGGUAUUUAUACUGAGAAUUGCAUAGCUUUGUUCUAUAACUCUUUAUAUGUAAUCGUGUCAGGCGCCAGCUAAACAACUCAGCGGGUCAGAACACUUGCUUCCAAGCCUGAAAACCUAAAUUUCACCCCUGGGACCCAAAUGAUGGAAGGAGAGAAUUAACUUCUGAAAGUUUUCCCCUGACCUUCAUAUAUGCUCCGUGGCUUAAACCCUUCAACACACAAAUGUACAUAAAAUAAAUAAAUGUAAAACAGUGUUGUUGUUGUUGUUGUUGUUUUAAGAUUUAUUCAUUUAUUUAUUUUAUGAGUACGUUGUAGCGGUCUUCAGACACACCAGAAGAGGAUAUCAGAUCCCAUUACAAGCCGGGUGUGGUGGCGCACCCCUUUAAUCCUAGCACUCGGGAGGCAGAGGCAGGCUGAUUUCUGAGUUCGAGGCUAGCCUGGUCUACAAAGUGAGUUCCAGGACAGCCAGGGCUAUACAAAGAAACCCUGUCUUGGGGAAAAAAAAAAAAACAGAUCGUAUUACAGAUGGUUGUAAGCCACCAUGUGGUUGCUGGGAAUUGAACUCAGGACUUCUGGAAGAGCAGUCAGUGCUCUUAAUUGCCGAGCCAUCUCUCCAGCCAGUAAAACAAUAUGUUUAUUACAAGUUUUCUUUAAGACUAUGCUAUAAAUUUCAGUUCAGAAAUACUUAAAAGGGUUUGGGUUUUUUUUUUUUUUUUCGGUUUUUGGUUGGUUUUUUUUUGUUUGUUUGUUUUGUUUUGUUUUGCUGUUUCCUGCAUAUUUUGCACUCAAUUGUUGCUGUGUUUGCAGUUUUCAUAGAAACUAUUUUUUUAUAUUAAGAUGCCUUUUAAUUUUUUCUUAAAAUUUUAUUGUAAGAUUUAAAUUUACAUAAUGAGAACUAAUGAAAGAUGGAAGGUAUAAAAUGAGAUUAAAUGGAAAUAGUAAAAAUUAUAAAAAUGUGUAAAAACAAAGCAGCACAAUUUUUAAGUUAGUUUUACUAAUCUUUGUGUACUCAAAUCUGUUUAUCUUGUUGCUGUUUUAAAGCAGACAUGCAGCUCAUGCUAGCCUGGAGCUCAAACCCAUGGCAGCUUUGAACUCUAGUUCUAUCUGCCUCUGCCUCCAAUAAAUUAUAGAUACAUACCAACACAUCUGGGUUGGAUUUUCUAUUUUUAAAAGUUUAGGGGGAAGAGGACAGAGGGAGGAAGGUAGAGAGAAGGAGAGAGCGAGAACACAGAUUGUGUUUGUAUACAUAGAUGGGCAUGUUUGUAUCACAGUGCCUGCAUGGAAGUCAGAGGAAUGUUUCAAGUGUUAAUCCUUGUCUUCUGCAUUGUUCAAAGCAGAGCACCCCUCCUCCCUUAUUUAUUCAUUUGAGAAUUAUAUAUCUAAAUGCAAUAUAUUUUAAUCCUGUCUGUCCCCACUGAUUCACAACUUUCCCUUGAUUUAACACUUUUUCCUCCCCAAUUUAUAGCACCUUAUAUAUGUUUUUAACAUAUAUAACCUGCCCUGUCUAAUUGGUGCUGAGGCAGGUCUCUGCUGUUUGCCAUUAUAAAUACCAGGUUAGCUGGCCUAUGAGCUUCCUGUCUUUACUGCUCAUCUUGCUCUAGGACCUUUUGAAUGGGUUGUGGAGAUUCCAACUCAGAUUCUUAUGCUUGCAACUCAGGUGUUUUACCUACUGCACUAUCUCCUUGGCCAUGUUUUCUUUUCAAAAGAAUUUUUUAUCUGUAUAUGUGUGCUUGUAUGGGUUUAUGUGCAUCUCUUACACACUGGUGCCUGUAGAUGCCCUUCGAAGUGGAAUUCUAGGCAAUUGUGAGCCAUGUGAUGCUGGGGACCAAACCUAGACCCUUUCCAUGAGUAGUUUGUGUUCUAAACCCCCGAACCAUCUGUCUAGCUCCAAUUUCUAUUU
rnacentral:lncRNA from 1 species